rnacentral:rRNA from 1 species
AUUGAACGCUGGCGGAAUGCUUUACACAUGCAAGUCGAACGGCAGCACGGGGGCAGCCCUGGUGGCGAGUGGCGAACGGGUGAGUAAUACAUCGGAACGUGCCCGGUCGUGGGGGAUAACGUAGCGAAAGUUACGCUAAUACCGCAUACGAUCUGAGGAUGAAAGCGGGGGACCUUCGGGCCUCGCGCGAUCGGAGCGGCCGAUGUCAGAUUAGGUAGUUGGUGGGGUAAAGGCCUACCAAGCCGACGAUCUGUAGCUGGUCUGAGAGGACGACCAGCCACACUGGGACUGAGACACGGCCCAGACUCCUACGGGAGGCAGCAGUGGGGAAUUUUGGACAAUGGGCGCAAGCCUGAUCCAGCCAUUCCGCGUGCAGGACGAAGGCCUUCGGGUUGUAAACGGCUUUUGUACGGAACGAAAAGGCUCUGGCUAAUACCUGGGGCUCAUGACGGUACCGUAAGAAUAAGCACCGGCUAACUACGUGC